rnacentral:rRNA from 1 species
AACGAACGCUGGCGGCGUGCCUAACACAUGCAAGUCGAACGAGAAAGGGGCUUCGGCUCCGAGUAAAGUGGCGCACGGGUGAGUAACACGGGGGUAACCUGCCUCUAAGAUUGGGAUAACUCGUCGAAAGAUGAGCUAAUACCGAAUAAGACCACAGUUCCCGCGGGAACAGGGGUCAAAGGUAGCCUCUGCUUGCAAGCUAUCACUUAGAGAUGGGCCUGCGCACCAUUAGCUAGUUGGUAGGGUAACGGCCUACCAAGGCAAAGAUGGUUAGCUGGUCUGAGAGGAUGAUCAGCCACACUAGAGCUGGGACACGGUCCAGACUCCUACGGGAGGCAGCAGUGGGGAAUAUUGCGCAAUGGGCGAAAGCUUGACGCAGCAACGCCGCGUGAGUGAUGAAGGCCUUCGGGUCGUAAAGCUCUGUCGGGAGGAACGAAUGCUCCUGAGGUUAACAGCCUCGGGAGGUGACGGUACCUUCAAAGGAAGCACCGGCUAACUCUGUG